UACGAAGGGGGCUAGCGUUGCUCGGAAUUACUGGGCGUAAAGCGCACGUAGGCGGCUCUUUAAGUCGGGGGUGAAAUCCUGGAGCUCAACUCCAGAACUGCCUUCGAUACUGGAGAGCUCGAGUCCGGGAGAGAAGAGUGGAAUUCCACGUGUAGCGGUGAAAUGCGUAGAGAUGUGGAGGAACACCAGUGGCGAAGGCGACUCUUUGGCCUGUAACUGACGCUGAGGCGCGAAAGCGUGGGGAGCAAACAGG
rnacentral:rRNA from 1 species